GACAGGGUGGUGAGAUUAGGGAACUGCUUUUAUAUUUAAUUUAAAAUACUGUUGGACUGACAGGUUAUUUUGGCUCCUUUGCUUAUAUGUUAAGGUAGAAUAUAUAAACGCACUAGCAUUGCCUUCCAGCAUAUGAUGGCUAUUGUGUGAGGUGGAAGACGAUCCAAUAGGAAGCGAUAGGAAGUAAUGUUAGCUGGAAAAUUGGAAAUGGAGGAGUCUUUGUGGUUGUCUGAAUUUGCGGCAAUAAAUAUGAUAGAAGUUGUGAAAGAAGGUUUUGCAGUAAGAGCUAGUUAUCUGAAGUGGCAUAACUAAAUGAAACCAAAGCAAGACUGAGGGGACAGAACCUGCCUUAGAAUGUGAUAUGGCUUGGAACCUCAUGUGCUCUGCACUUCAACCAGCUGUAGAAAAUUCAACUUCAUUUACAUGUUAUAAAAACUUGAAGCAUGUCAGUAUGGAAGGGUUCGUCAGUGCACACUGGUUGGGAACUGAAUCCUGAGUAACUAUGCAGGCAUGGCUGCAAGAUAGCUAUUUCAGGUAUUAGCACCAUUGGAGAUAUCUGGAGUUGGUUGAGAAGUCUGUGGGUGCUGCUACAUUGAAGCAGUUGCAGGAGCUUGAGGCAGCAAAGGUUUAACCUUUAAAGGAUGAGUGUCUGACAUAUUGACACCCGAAUGACUUGACUGCAAGUACAUUCCAUAGAACAGUGAUUCGCAAUCAGUAUGAAAGAACUGUCGAAGCCUGCACGUUGUUUAGUUGAUUUAGCAUAUGUGCAAGAUGAUGCUGAAGAGCAGUACGCUGACAUCACCUUGGAAGGAGAGCUCGAAGAUACCAGGCUUCAGGAUCCAUCACCUGCUGAAGAAGUUUCAGAGUGGUGCUACAAGCUUCCCUCUGAUAAGGCAGACAUGCACCAGUUUGUGGGAGAACAGAAGGGGCUAAAGAAAACCACUGCUACCAACAUUACUGAAAAUUCACAACCUCAUGAUUUCUUCUUGCUGUAUUUUUAGACCAUCAUGGCAGUAAUUGUACAAGAGACCAACUGACAUAUGCAAGAAGAUGCAUGAGCAAAAAAUAAAACCGGUUAUUCCACACUCUCGGUAGGUAAGCAUAAAUGAUCUAUACACGUUUCUUGCAGCUGUAGUUCAGAUGGGUCACAACUACAAGCCCAGUAUGGAGCUAUACUGGACCAAAAGUGAACUGUAUCGCAUUCCUUUCUACUCCAGUGUGAUGCCACAUGAUCAUUUUCUCAUAGUUCUGAAGCAUCUGCAUUUUGCAUACAGUCUGAAAACAAUAACACAAGACACAGAAGAUCCAAAUUAUGACAUUAUGGGAUGUCAAGCAAACAUUUGACAUCCAACAGAUGAAGUAAUGGUAAAAUUCAAAGGGAAAGUCAUCUUUUGCCAAUACACCCCCCUCCCAAAAAAAAAGAUUUGGCAUAAAAAUUUAUAAACUUUAUGACAGAUUGGGUAUACAUAUGGCAUGAGGGUGUACCUGAGAAAACGAAUUGUGACUAGCGCAGCUGUUACAGCCACACCUAUAUAUAAGUGCUGGAAUUGGUUCAGAAAGUUGGAGUGGUUGAACACAAAAUAUCCACGGACAAUUACUUCACCUCACCGAAACUUCAGUAAUCUGCACCACAGGAAAAUAAAUACAUGGAGUACAGUUCAUGACAACAGGAAGGAGAUGUUGCCUAAUUUCAGUCCUGACAUCUGCUGCUGAAAAGAAGAGACCCUGUGUCCAGAUUGUGGGAAAAUCCAAGGGCUGUGUGCUGGAAGGACAGAUGAGAAGUUUAUUUCGUUUCUGAUACGUGCAUUCCACCUGCGGAAGGUAACUUCUAGGAAAGCGGGAAAGCUGUGAAGCCUGUGAUGAACGAAGACCGUACAACCCGCAUGGGUUAUGCUGACCUGAUUGAACGGAUGGCGAACAGCUAUAGCAUAAGUAAGAAAACCUGGAAGUGGAUGAGAACACUCUUCUUCCAUUUGUUGGACUUAACCAUUCUGAAUUCACACAUUCUUUACUAGUCUCGUGGGGGAAAUAUGACCCAUCCGAAAUUGAGGGAGCAGCUAGUUGGGAAUUGCUAUGUUUUUUCCCAUGAAGAGAAUACCGAAAUCUGUGGUGUGCCAGGGGUUCAGCCGAGCAGUUUGGAGACUCAGAUAGGCCGACCUGACGUAAAACAUUCUCUGCACUGGCCAGCCAAAUUGAAAGAGCAUUGUUGUUGUGUGUUCCAAAUGAAGAAACAAAGCAAAGAAACGGUCUACUACUGCAAGAAGUGUGACUGGUCUCUGUGUUGUCCCAUGCUUCGAGUGGUGACAUACAUACACCCAACUGUGACCGACUGUACUCGAAUUCUAUAGAGUUUUGGAAUAUGGGCUGGAACCGCGCAUGUGGCUCAUGCAGACAUCAGAGGAUGACACAAUCAUAUUUUCAUGUAUAGAAGAAACUGAAUGCUUCGCCCAUCUGUCGACGACAUUUAGAACUAAUGCGGAAAUUGCUGCGGCGCUAGUAAUUGUGGUAGCAGCUUCAGUGCCAUCUGUCUGAAAAUAGUUUUUACUAAUUGUGUGAUUGACCCGUCAAGUUUUGGAACUACGAAUUGUGGGCGUAGCAGAAAUUUUCUUUAAAAUAUAUUUCAGUGCCAUGUGUUAGCGGUCCUAGUUACACCGUACAUUUUACACUAGGCUUGCUUCUGCCAUCUACCAACCAAUCUGUGAACUCUUAUUCAUUUUAUUUUAAUUUAUUCUCUUGGACUUGAACUGCCGAACGCUGCCGAAGUCUGGCUUGCUGGUCCGUCGUCUUAUCCACUAGACCACGAAGCUCUUAUGUUACUAUAUAAAUUCAGAACUUCCUGAUAUAUUGUGGCUCAUCGGAAAUUUGACACAAAUAUUUCAAAUGCAGGGGCCUUACUAUCGGGAGCCUAAACAGCGCGGCUCAGGAGGUUGCCGUUCGUUUCUCAGCCACUGGACCACGAAACGGUUACACAAGCCAGUGUCUCUGGGUUUCGAAUACCUCCUUUGACAUCCUAAGACCUACCACUUUCAUUCUCAAUCCCUUCCAUCAUAAGUACCAGCGCCAUAACAGUAUUCAAUUCUAUAGGGGCGGCGUAUAAUUAAAAAAAACGAAUGCCGAAACAUUUCCAGUCCAUAUUUUGGCAGCUCUGUAUUUACAUAAAUGACGUCACAUCCUUAACUGCCAACAUAACUAACAAUAGGACUAAAAGUAUUACACAGAAUUUUUUUUUUUUUGGGG